rnacentral:lncRNA from 1 species
CAACCCAUACCUUGUUGUGAAAGCUGUCUUUAGUAUAUCCAAAUUCCGAAUCUUCAAUUGAUGAUAACCAGAAUGCAAAUCAAUCUUAGAGAUCACACAAGCACCUCUCAGCUGAUCAAAUAAGUCAUCAAUUCUAGGCAAUGGAUACUUGUUCUUGAUAGUAACUUCAUUGAGUGACCGGUAAUCAACACACAUUAUCUGACUUCCAUCUUUCUUAUCAACAAAGAUAACUAGAGCACCCCAUGGUGAAGAUCUAGGACGAAUGAACCCUUUAUCUUGCAAUUCCUUUAUUUACUUCUUAAGUUCUUCUAACUCAUUAACCCCCAUUCUGUAUGGUCUUUUGGCUAUAGGUGCAGUACCAGGUAGUAAUUCAAUUAUAAACUCGAUGUCACGGUCAGGUGGCAUACCCGGCAAUUCAUCUGCAAAUACAUCUGGGAAUUCAUUCACAACACGGUCCUAAGGUUUAGCAUCAUCAUCCAACUGGUUCACUAUAGCUGUCUUUUGUUUCUGCACCUCAACCUUGAGUCGGUCUCCAGUAGGUGAUGUUAGUUCCAUUACUUCCCUUCACACUUAAUCUUUGCAUCUUGUUGCAUCAUCCAAUCUGUACCCAAUAUGAGAUCAACUCCAGCUAUCCUCAGCACUAUGGGGUUCACUUUAAAGUCUACCCCCUUAAAGUCAAAUUAACUGGAAAGCAACAAUGUGAAGCUGGUAUAGUCCCUUCUAGUGAAUUUAUGAUUAUGGGGCUUUUCAUGGCACAAGUAGGUAUAUUAUGUGUUCUAAUGAAAGCUUGUGAUAUGAAUGUAUGCGAAGCUUCGAAUCAAAAAGAACGGUAGCGGGAGUGGAAUGGACAUCAAACAUACCAAUCAUAACUUUAGGUUCCUCCACAGCUGUCUCUGCAGACACAUGAUUCACUCUUCCAGCGUUAGGUGUCCGAUUGUUCUCCUGGUUGCUAUUUUGCCCUUGGGAAUUCUGUGGGUUCAAGUUCUCUAGACAAUUAUAAGACAUAUGUCCCACCUUUCCACAGCGGAAACACCUGUUAGGAGUGUUGGGAGCACUGUUCUUCCUAAGGGUGGAAUUAGGAUUCCUUGGUUGAGGUGUCUGUCGACCAUCCUGCUGCUGAUAAGAGUUACGCUGCUGAUAAUGAAAGCACUGAUUCUCACUCUGUGGUUGAUUCUGAAAAUGUUGGGGAUACUGAUCAUGGUUCCACUGACUAACUGGUUCCUGAUAACUCGGAUGGAAACCCUGAUGAGAGCCGAAGCGAUGGCGGUUAUUACUACCCGAACUUUGUCCUUGCAUUCUCCUCUUCCGAUCCUGACUCUUGCGCAUAUCAUCCAGCACAAUGGCACGGUUCACCAGGGCUUGGAAAGUAGGGUAAGUGUUUCCAACCAACUGCAAUCUGAGAUCAUAAUAAAGGCCUUUCAUAAAUAGAUGCUGCUUAUCAACAUCUUCCCUGACCUCAUUCGGAGCAUAGCGAGCCAGCUGCGCAAAGGCAUCAUGAUACUCUGCAACGGUCAUAGAGCCCAUUCUGAGUGAUCUAAACUCCUCCUGCUUUAUUUCUAUCAUCCCUUCAUUGAUGUGACGUGCCUUAAAAUCUCUGUAGAAUUCAUGCCAAGUGACGGUGGGAGCAUUAUUAGGACGAGCAGCUUGGUAUGAUUCCCACCAAGUAUGAGCUGCUCCCUGUAGCUGUCCAGAAGCAUAUAACACCUUCUCUAGAUCAUUGCACUGAGCUAUGUUUAACUGUCUUUCCACAGCACGCAACCAAUCAUCUGCUUUCAUAGGGUCAGUAGACUGAGUAAACACUGGAGGUCGUCCUUUCAUAAACUCUCCACGCUUAUCCAACACAUAGAUAGGUGGUGGUGGAGCUGUAGGCUGGUGCUGAAGAUGUUGUAGAAAUGCAUUCAUCAUCUCGUUCUGUGUAUGCAUUAGUUCCUCCAUAGAGAUUGGGGCAUUAGCACCCCUACCACGACCUCUACCUCUGCCUCUUCCUCUUUCUCUUGCUGCCAUCUGCAUUCCAAGGUACAGAAACAUAUCUCAGUAAUAUCCAACAUGAUAAAUACAAGAGAUAGUUGAAUCUGAAUUUUUCUGGGCGACAUCCAACAUUAGUAGUUGAGAAAAUCAGUCAUAUCUCGAGUUCCGGAAACCAAAAGGUUACAUUCUGUAACCGUUGGAAAGAUAAAGAGAUUAUCUACAACUUUCAUUUAGACCAUAUUAACAGAUUCUGUCGUUAAAUUAGUCAAAACUGGGCAUAACCAAAACUGUUCCAGAAUUCUAGAUUGAGCAGAAACCUCAACUUUGAACAGUUAUAUCUCACAGACCAUAAUAGCUAAUAAUGUCAUUCUUGCUGAAUUGGAAAGAUCAUGAAGUCUAGUUGUUCCCAGAAACGUUUGAUAAACUUUGCACAAACAGAAUUUGAGAUAUGCCAGAAUUAGUGCAGACUGCUCCAGAAAACAGCAAGGUAUAGAAACAGAAUUUAACCAACCCAACUAUUUAGUUCAUUAAUCCUUAUGUCUUAGGCCUAUAAACUAAAUGAAAUUGUGGAGAAAAUCCACAAGAUUAUUACACUCAUUACAAAGAUCCAAGUCAAACAUAAGCAUAAUAACAAACCAAACCAAGCAUCAAAGGUUCACACUUCAAGCAUUAACUCAACUUGCGGUACUAUCGUUGUCUUCCUAUUAAGGGUAAAGAUCCUAAAACUCCUAUUUCAAUGACGCCAGAAGGCAGUAAGAAAAGUUAUAAAAGCAUAUCAAGAAAGGAGUGGGGAUGAGAACUAGUCUUUAAAAUAAGCAACAAGGUGAGGAUGAAUAGCAAUGAAAAGGUUAUAGUAUAGGAGAAAAUAUCAAGGUUUAUAGAACAAGGAUUGUAUAGCAAUUUCAAAACCUUAAGACGGCCAAUAUCUAACUAGGCUUGCGUCCGAUAGUCAAUAAAGCUUUGAUACCAAUUUGUCACACCCAAAUUUCAAGAACGAAAUAGAGUGCAUAAAAGACUCAUAUGUGCCCCAGAAACAGUCGCACACAUAAGUAGACAAAUCUCAAAUGUAUCAUUACAGUGUUCAUUACAUAGCGGAACAAUAAUUAUUAAAUAGUCUCAAACAAAUAAAGAUACUCUCGACGGAACCACCACACAGGGACACUGUUGACUGGUUGACUCCAAGCCUAGUACUCGUAACGGUAGUCCUCAUUCCAAACAUCAUUAUUUGCAUAACCUGGGGUGUUGGGAAAUUGCAAGAGUCAGCACAUAUCGUACUCAACAAGUAUAACCAGGGGUUCAUGAGGCUCAAAUAGCUGACACUGGUUUAACUGCAUUUAGCUUUUAUACGUAGGUAGCAUAUUUGUAUUUAGAUAGCAAAUGUCAAGGUAGCAUAAUUAAAUCCCAUAACCACAUGAUCAAUGUAUACAAGAAUUAAGAAUAACACAUAUAAACAACUUAAUAAACCAUCAUUUAUCAUCAUUAAUCAUGUUCAUCAGUGUCCAUCUAUUCCAUCAGUUUUCCGGGCCACCCGUAUCCGUGGGCACGGCUAGUAUACCAGAUUUAACACUCUGCAGAGGUUGUACAUCUUUAUCCAUGAGUCGUGAUUUACCCUUUCGCCCGAGAUUGCAAGUCUCUUAACCCCCUUCCUAGGGAGGUCGGCAGGGAUCACUAUGAAGCCUUUCAAAGGUUUCGUCUAACAAGUUAGGGCCAUUAGAUUCACUCGGCAGGCAGAUAUAGAGCCCACCUUCCAUGGCACAUAACUCGCAGCCUAUACACACAGACAGAGGCUGCACUAUACCCAACGUGUCUAGCCAUUCUUACGCCAUUUAAGGUAACCGCUAACAAGCUAGAAAAAUAUCCUCAUACUGAGCUAAAACCAGAGCCAUAUAUCCCUCAUGGUUGUACGAGUUGUCCCAGCUUUUGCCAAGGGAUAUGUCCUUAUGGAGGGUCAAGAUCAAUCUAGCAAAAGUUAGAGUUCUUUCCACCCUUUAUGUUCAAGUUGCUAAAAAGCUUAUUUUAUUGUUUAUUAUUUAUCCAAAUAUUCAUGUUACAAGAUCAUGGAUUAUAAUCAAGCACUAGCAAGAACUACCCAAAUACAUAUCCAAAUAGGUAACAAGGAAUUCAGGAUAACAAUCAUCUAUGAUUUUGCUAAGGUCAUCAAGGUGGACACAUGCAUAUGAUAUAUUGUAUUAAUUGUGUAUAGGUAACAAGGAUGAUCCUAAGUUAUACUUGCCUUGAUCAAAACUCUCCUGAGCCUGCUGGUCGUCAAAAGAUUGGCCUUGAUCACCAACGUAAAGCUCACCGACUAAACUCGAUCAUCAAUCAACAACACGCAUUCCAAUGAACAAUCAUACACCAAGCAAACAAGUUAUAAUUAGAAUAAUACACCAACAGUGAUAAAACAAUUGUAAAAGUUUAUAAAAAUAUUCUACGCAGCGCUACAAUCACACAAACAUAAAGUUCACGAAAAUCGAAAUUAAAACUGAGAAGUUAUGAAUUUUCUAAGAUUUCCUAUAGAAUAAUAAUUAAUUAAAUAUUACCACGAAAUUAAAAAGUUUCGAACUGGUGAUACAGUACUUCUAACAUGUAGAGUUCGCAAAGACGAAACUAACGCAAUUUGAAUGGGUUAAAACGGAGUUAAAAUGAGCAUUUUAUGGCCUAAAGAAACUCAAUGGCAUGUUUGUAAAUUCUGAAAAACGUAUUAUGGUGUUAACCCGAGGCUUUACGCUUCUCCAAGAGCAAAGCGUAUUCUCUGAAAGGCGCCAUGGACUACGGGUUCUAAUUGGGACAAGCCGAGGGUCUCUUUAGCAAUUGUCGCAGCCGAAAGGGUAUCGGGCACCCUGGGCCGUUUGAUGAGCGAGGGACGGCUCAGAUUAGAUGCAAGAGAGAGAGAGAAGGGGGACUCGGCCGCCGGCGUGGCUCUCCACGGCGGCACCAUGGUCGCAGCCCUGAGAGCUCGUUGGAGCUCAUGGCCUCGGCGAUUUAGGGCACCAUUUUAUGAACCGAUAGCAUGGGAAGGACGCGGGGCUUCUUGCGAACUCACCAGUGCUCUUAUCGCGACCCGAGGGAGCUAGGAAGGAAACGACCACGCGUGGGAAGCUCGGCGAGAUCCACUCCUCGACGUCGGUGGCGGCUAGGGCUUCUCAGACGCUCUUAGAUCGAAAAAGUGGGUGUGGGGCGGGGCUAGGAGCUUAACUAGUGCUCGGUUUGCGCUUGAACUAGGAAAUCGCGAAGAGUUCGGGAUUGGUUGCCAUCGAGUGUCUGGCUCGGUGACGGCGCGAGGAAGGAGAUGGAGGAGGACGCUGACGUGUGGACCCCACGUGUCAGAGGCCAGAUUGAAAAGGGAAAGGGUCAGGCGCGCGGCUGGGCCGUUGGCUCUAGGUUUAGGCCGGGUGGGGGGCUGGGCUGCCGCUUGGGUAGCUGGGCCGAGCGAGGGAGAGGUGCCGAGCUGGCUUGCUGCUGGGCCGAGCUGCUGUUGCUGCGCUGGGCUGGGGUUUUCCCCUUUUUUCUAUUUUCUUUUCUAAAGUCUUUUCAAAUAGAGAAUGAAUUCCUUUAGACUUUAAACAAAAACACACAGCACCAACAUGUUUCUAUCCCUAUGUUGGAUUUUAUUUUCAAUAAAAUUUAUUUAUUUACUAAUUUAAAUGCUCACAAAAAUGCUUAGAUAAAUCAAAUUUAAUCUAUAACUCUUAUAAUCCUAAACCCCAUUAAAUAUUUCUCUAAGCAUGCAAGCUAUCCACCUAAGCAAUACACUACCAUAUUCAAUUAAAAUCCACUAAGUAAAACCUCAAUAGCUAUUUAUCUCAACAUGCAAUAAUGCACUACCACAUAUACAAUUAAAAUCCAAUAGCACACAUGGAAACUGUGAUUGUCCACGUCAGCAAGACAAAUAAGUAUAGCCCAUAUCAUCAUACACACAAUCUACUAAUCCGCAAUUCCCGUAGUAACGCGCGGGGUAUGCUCCUAGUUCUAAUAGUUAGAAAGCAAAUUUUUUGGUGUUACAAGAUUGGGGUUAAUACCGAAGUUUGGAGAUUAUCUUCUGUUGUUUGCUGCUUAAGGUUAUCUCUGAUAUGCAUUGUCUUUUUAUAUUGCCCCUUAUUUGUAGCUAUAUGUGAGAUUUGAUGUCUAAGACUCACAUAUGGUGUUUAUCUCAUUUUGUUCUUAAAAUCGGGGUAUUACAAAGUGGUAUCAAACUAAUGCUCACUGUAGGACGCAACCCUAGUUAGAAAUUGGCGGUCUUAAGGUUUUGAAAUUAUCAUUAAAUUCUUGUUCUAUAGACCUUGAUAUUUUCACCUAUACUAUAUCCCUUUCCUUGCUAUAUUUUUAAUGUUUGACUUAACCUUAUUUAAAAUGAUAUCUAAAUCCAAUAAGAGAGUGAUAUCAUCACAACAUCCGACGUCCCUCCUCCUAAUCUCAUAAUUGCUACAAAACAUCAUUUUUUUCAACACGUCUAUAUUAUUUUUAAAAUAAUACAACACACCGAUACCAAUACUUAUUUAGGUCCUGUUUAGUUGACGCUAAAAUUUAUUUUUUUUUCGAAAUUUCACAUCACAUCGAAUCUUACCGCACAUGUAUGAGACAUUAAAUAUAGAUAAAAAAUAACUAAUUACACAGUUUAUCUGUAGUUUACAAGACGAAUUUUUUGAGCCUAGUUAGUCUAUAGAUGGACAAUAAUUGUUAGAUACAAACGCAAGUGCUACAUCACCUGAAUCCAAAAGUUUUCCCAACUAAACAAGGCCCUAGUUAGAGCAUCUCUAAGAGAUUUUCCAUAUCCUUUUUAAAUGCCACAAUAGAGGUUUUGGUGAAUAAUUGUUCUCCAAUAGCUUAUCUAAAUGGUCAUUCAAAUAUAGUUAUCUUUUAUUUUAGAUUUUUUUAUUAGCCAAAUAUAUAAAACGAGAAUGACUAUUUAGAGUUCGUAUGAGAUAUAGAAAAACUGUCAAUGAAAAGAUAUAGAAAAUAAUUUUUAAAUAAACAUCUUUCUAAAUAAUGAUUCAGAGUGAAAUUUAUAAAUGCUGUUAGAGAUGCUCUUAGAGCAACUCCAACAGUUUGCUAAAAGUAUUUGCAUCCUAGGAUUUUUGUCAAAACCACAAAAAAACAAGGCAAAAUUCACCCUUCACUUGGCAAAUAUGCCAAGUCCUCCAUGGCUUAGCAUCACGUGUAUCCCAAUAUGCCAACUAGUCUUGCCAAUUUGUUGGAGGCUCAAUUUUGUGAUGUUGGCAAAAAUCUUAGGAUGCUAAGCUCUUUUUUGCCAAGCCCAAAUAGCAAACUGUUGAACGUCUCUUUUUUUACUUGAUAUUUGAUUUUGAGACUUGGCAAAACUAUAAAUUUGCCAAGUGACCUUGUUUAGUUUGCAAAAUUUUUUGUUUUUGGCUACUGUAGCAUUUCGUUUUUAUUUGACAAACAUUGUUCAAUCACGGAGUAACUAAGCUCAAAAGAUUCAUCUCACAAAUUACAGGUAAACUGUGCAGUUAGUUUUUAUUUUCGUCUAUAUUUAAUGCUCUAUGCAUGCGACCAAAUAUUUGAUGUGAUGGAGAAUCUUGAAAAUUUUUGCAAACUAAACAAGGCAUGAGUUUUAGCAAACUAUAUAUUGCAGUUGCUAUAUUAUGAUAUGAAUUCGUUAAGAAAGCUGAAAGCGUGCGAAACUAAAAGACAGUCCCGGUGGAUCAUCGGAAAAAUAUCUUUGGAACAUAGUUGAUAUUAUUGCUGUAAAUAGGGGCUUACAUGAAAAAUCGUACCACCUAGAAGAUUAUGAGUCUCGAAAAAAAUAUCUAAACAUCAACUACUUCCUAUAAAGUGGAGAGUAGCGGGGAGAACCCGAGAAACCCAAUCCAGACAAGCAAGGAAUCCCCGAUGGCUCAUCGCGUUCUCCUCCUCCUUUCUCUCGCGGCGGCCGUCGCGGUAGCCGCCGCCGUCGACACGGAGGAUCCGCUGAUCCGGCAGGUGGUUCCCGGCGGAGAUGACAACGAGCUGGAGCUGAACGCGGAGUCCCACUUCCUGAGCUUUGUGCAGCGGUUCGGCAAGUCCUACAAGGACGCCGAAGAGCACGCGUACCGGCUGUCCAUCUUCAAGGCCAACCUGCGCCGCGCGCGCCGGCACCAGCUGCUGGACCCGUCGGCGGAGCACGGCGUCACUAAGUUCUCCGACCUGACGCCGGCCGAGUUCCGCCGGACCUACCUCGGCCUCCGUAAGUCACGGCGCGCGCUCCUCAGAGAGCUCGGGAAGUCGGCGAACGAGGCGCCUGUGCUCCCCACCGAUGGCCUGCCCGACGACUUCGAUUGGAGGGACCACGGCGCCGUCACCCCUGUCAAGAACCAGGUCGGUUUCCACCGAAUCUGCAUGGAUCCACAGAUCGGGGCCGUUCUUUCAUGGUUUCCCGAUCUAUUUGGGUCUUUCCUCUAUCUAAAUGACUCCUCAAUUUCCU